GAGGAAGGAAUGAUUCCUGUGAAAUGAGAAGCAGAAAUUAUGAAAUGCUUUGGUGAUUAGUGUCUACCAGCCUGUUUUGAAUAGUGGCAGUAGGAUACACGGUUUAGAAGAAGAUGUGGUGUUUGAUACUUGUAUGAGAAAUUUCCAGAGGAACUGUGAAUGGUUGAGAAGCUGGACAAAUCUCUGCAUAAUGCAUAAUCUGUGUCAGGUAUAGU
rnacentral:lncRNA from 1 species